AGAGUUUGAUCCUGGCUCAGGAUGAACGCCGGCGGUGUGCCUAAUACAUGCAAGUCGUACGCACUGGCCCAACUGAUUGAUGGUGCUUGCACCUGAUUGACGAUGGAUCACCAGUGAGUGGCGGACGGGUGAGUAACACGUAGGUAACCUGCCUCGGAGCGGGGGAUAACAUUUGGAAACAGAUGCUAAUACCGCAUAACAACAAAAGCCACAUGGCUUUUGUUUGAAAGAUGGCUUUGGCUAUCACUCUGGGAUGGACCUGCGGUGCAUUAGCUAGUUGGUAAGGUAACGGCUUACCAAGGCAAUGAUGCAUAGCCGAGUUGAGAGACUGAUCGGCCACAAUGGAACUGAGACACGGUCCAUACUCCUACGGGAGGCAGCAGUAGGGAAUCUUCCACAAUGGGCGCAAGCCUGAUGGAGCAACACCGCGUGAGUGAAGAAGGGUUUCGGCUCGUAAAGCUCUGUUGUUGGAGAAGAACGUGCGUGAGAGUAACUGUUCACGCAGUGACGGUAUCCAACCAGAAAGUCACGGCUAACUACGUGCCAGCAGCCGCGGUAAUACGUAGGUGGCAAGCGUUAUCCGGAUUUAUUGGGCGUAAAGCGAGCGCAGGCGGUUGCUUAGGUCUGAUGUGAAAGCCUUCGGCUUAACCGAAGAAGUGCAUCGGAAACCGGGCGACUUGAGUGCAGAAGAGGACAGUGGAACUCCAUGUGUAGCGGUGGAAUGCGUAGAUAUAUGGAAGAACACCAGUGGCGAAGGCGGCUGUCUGGUCUGCAACUGACGCUGAGGCUCGAAAGCAUGGGUAGCGAACAGGAUUAGAUACCCUGGUAGUCCAUGCCGUAAACGAUGAGUGCUAGGUGUUGGAGGGUUUCCGCCCUUCAGUGCCGGAGCUAACGCAUUAAGCACUCCGCCUGGGGAGUACGACCGCAAGGUUGAAACUCAAAGGAAUUGACGGGGGCCCGCACAAGCGGUGGAGCAUGUGGUUUAAUUCGAAGCUACGCGAAGAACCUUACCAGGUCUUGACAUCUUGCGCUAACCUUAGAGAUAAGGCGUUCCCUUCGGGGACGCAAUGACAGGUGGUGCAUGGUCGUCGUCAGCUCGUGUCGUGAGAUGUUGGGUUAAGUCCCGCAACGAGCGCAACCCUUGUUACUAGUUGCCAGCAUUAAGUUGGGCACUCUAGUGAGACUGCCGGUGACAAACCGGAGGAAGGUGGGGGCGACGUCAGAUCAUCAUGCCCCUUAUGACCUGGGCUACACACGUGCUACAAUGGACGGUACAACGAGUCGCAAGCUCGCGAGAGUAAGCUAAUCUCUUAAAGCCGUUCUCAGUUCGGACUGUAGGCUGCAACUCGCCUACACGAAGUCGGAAUCGCUAGUAAUCGCGGAUCAGCAUGCCGCGGUGAAUACGUUCCCGGGCCUUGCACACACCGCCCGUCA
rnacentral:rRNA from 1 species